AUGUUGGAGGCAAGGCCGGAUGGCUUGAGUCAGGGAAUUGGAGCGGAGUUAACGCUAGCUCUUGAAAUCUCGGAAAGAAAUAACACGGAGACACAGAAUUCGGAUAAAAUAAUAAAAUUUCUUCUGGAGAGUGAGGGGGAAUGCCAGAAACAGGUCUGGACAAGAUUACACCAGCUGAAGACAUCUUGGGAAGAACCAAAUCUUCAUCUGCAUAGUUCCUCAUUGUUCUUGGAUUUCCGCACCCCCCAGUCAUUUGUUACACCUUGUUUAUCCCAAUGUGAGCAGUCCUCUGAGGAAGAUGAUAUACUGUCUCCAUUUGUUCCUGAGGAACUGAAUUACUCAGGGAUCCAGUAUCUCGCGAAAGAUUACGCAGUGCACACUGGAUACACCAGGAUCAUAAACCGCUUUGUAGCAGUGAUUGAACGCAGGACCUUGCACUUGCCAGGCAGGCGCGGUGCCACUGAGCUACGUCCCCCUAAUAAAGGCUCCAUAAAAUGGGAACUAUUAGAAUGUCUAUGGGAAUGUUUCUUGGAGCGAGAAGAGAUGGCUCUUACUAGUGCCUAAGUUGAGCGGGCCUUAGAGGACCCCAAAGGCUGAGUGCCCAUGGCCAGGCGAAGGGGUGCUGGGAAGGGCUCGGUCAGCUCGAGCUGGCUUCCAGCAGGGGGCACCAGCUGCCUCCGCCUCCUCCCAGACCUGAAUCAGGUGGAGCUGCAAACCUGGGCAGGGGGUGGCAGGCCCACCUUGGGGACCAUGUGGAGGGGCAGCAGAGCACGGCAGUAGCAGCCUGUGCAAAGCCAAAGACUUGUCUCCCCGAAUUCCCCAAACUGGCCUGUGGAGCUGCCUCAUGCAGGCCUCCCAAAGAGACUGUUGCUCAGCCUUGUCUAGCUCCUUCCUCUUAUCAGAAUCUUUUGGGUACUCGCCAGGAAUCCGAAACUUCAAAAACUUUAAUGAAGUUCUGUAUGGGAGUGAAAAUCAAUAAGCAAGCUAAAGAUAGUAACACAGAUAGUGCUCAAAAAUGUACUGAUGAGAGCUGGGGGUUGUAGCUCAGUGGUAGGCACGUAACCUGGAGAGGUGAAGCCCUGGGUUCCAUCCUUAGCAUGGCAAAAGAAAAGAAAAAGGCUGAAAAAUGUUACCUUGGGUGGAAAAGCAAGUUGCCAAGCAGUACAAGGCAAGCGUGGGCACAGAGGACCACCCUCAGCCCUGUCCUCACUAGCCCACUUUCAGCUUCUCUGAUGCUGCCUCAGUUUCACUGAACAAACAGGGGCCCCUUGGUCACUCCUCAGCCCUCAAGAGGAGGGACCCUGGACAGGAGACCCACAGGCCUGACCUGUGCACACAACCCCCUCCCCCCCGACCUCUUGGCCUGUGGAGGGCCAGGAAGAGACCCUCUAAAACUCAAGUCCACAGCCUGGCUUGCCCAGGUGUCAGAGCUGUACUAUAUGGGUCAACACUUUUAUUUAUUAAAUAUUUUAUUUAUUUGUUUGGUUUUUUGAGACAGUGUCUCAUGGAAUAGUUCAGGCUGGCCUUGAACUCACUACCUAGCCCAGGCUGGCCUUGAACUCAUACCGAUCCUCCUGACUCAACCUCCUGAGUCCUGCCACUAGAGGCAUGUGCCACCAUGCCUGGUGAUCAGCACUAUUUAUAGAAGGGAUAAAAUAUGCAAAACAGUAUGUUGUUUGUUGUUGCACACGGAACUAAUAUGUAUGGGGUGUGUGUGUGUGUUACUAGGAACUGAACCCAGGGCCUUUACACUGAGCUACAUCCAAAUCCCUUUUUAAUUUCCUUUUUUGGAAAUAGAGUCUCACUAAGUGGCUAAGUUUUACAGGCUGGACUCAAACUUUUGAUCCUUCUGCCCUAGCCUUCCAAAGUGCUGUGAUUAUAGGUAUGCACCACCAUGGCCAGCUACAAAAGAUUAAUAAAUUAGACCACAUAAACUAGCCAAGCUGGGCAUGGUGGCACAUGCCUAUAAUCAGCUUUUUGAUGCUACCUCAGCUUCACUCUGCACAAACACUACUCUGCACCACUCUAGGAGGUUGAGAUGCAGGAGGAUCACAGGUUCAAGCCCAAGCCUGGAAACUUAGCCACUUAGUGAGAUCCUGUCUCAAAAUAUAAAAAAAGAAGUAGGGAUAUAGCUCAGUGGGAAGACUCUGGGUUCAAUUCCCAGGGCCACAAAAAAUGUAUUGAUCUUUUCCAAUGACUUUGAGGUUUUAUAUUAUGUAUAGGAAUGCUUUCCCUAUUCUAUGAUUAUUAAAAAGCAAAAGAUUUAAAAAUGAUUAUUUAUGGUUAAUGAAAUCUUAAAACCUGGGAGCCACUGUUCUGGAUCAGCCCCUGUAUGACAUGCGUUCCUGGAGGGCCAGAAUCUCUAUUUGUCCCUCCACUUGCAGACCUAACACAAAGUUAGGGAGAGAGAAAAUAUUUAGUAAAUGUUGGUGUUAUGUUGGUGUCCCCCCAAAGCCUCAUGUGGUCAUAAGUGGGGGCUUUUCAGAAGUGGCUGGAUCUAGAGUGUGUGAUGCUGGGAUUAAUUCAUGGUCCAAUGCGAAGAUUAAGGGCACUGGAAUUAAGGGUAUAUGAUUCCUAAAUUAGUCCACUGAUUGGUUUGGCAUCUGCCCUAAGCCAGGUAGCCUAGAUAGAAUAUAAGUGGGGCAGAAAGAAGUUGCUAUUGUUGCUACUAGUUUGCUACCUUCUGCCUUCUGCCUUCCAUGAACUGUUUCUCCUCUGCAGUACCCCUCUGCCAUGCCGCCCUGCCUCCAAUCCAGCCAGCUAUGGACUGAUACCUCUACAAACUGUGAGCCAAAAUAAACCUUUCCUCCUUUCACUUUGGGUGUCAGGUAUUUUAUCUCAGCAAUGAGAAAAAGUGAUUAAGACAGUUAAAAGCAGGUCCUACUUCAAGGCCGUAAAACAGUUCGUAUUCUUGUCAUCCUCUUAGGUUUUUGUUGUUGUUAUUUUGUUUUUUGAGACAGAGUCUUGCCCUGCAGUUCAGGCUGACCUCAAACUCACUAUGUUGUCCAGGCUGGCCCUGAACUUGUGGCAAUCCUCCUACCUCAGCCUCCUGAUUGCUGGGAUUACAGGCAUGUGCCACCAUACCUGGCUAGAAUAUUUUUCUUACUUAUGUUUUUCAUCCAUCUGGAAUUUAUUUUGGUGAUUGGAGUGAAAUAGAGAUACGGUUUUAUUUUUCCUGAGUGAUUAACCAGUUGGACCAACACCAUAUUGAAUAAUCUUGUCUUCCCUGCACUGAUUCCAAAUGCCACCUUUAGCAUAUAUCAAAUUCCCACAUGUAUUUGGGUCUAUUUCUGGAUUUCCUAUCUUGUCCUGGUGAUCACUCUGUCUGGGAUGCUAUAUAUAUAUUUUUUAAGCUCCCUAGGUGAUUCUGAUGUAGCCAGUCUCCAGAUGGUGCUUAUCUAUGAUGAGAUAUUUUUGUGGAUUCUUAGCAAUGAAGGA
rnacentral:lncRNA from 1 species